UACAGGGGGUGCAAACGUUGCUCGGAAUCAUUGGGCGUAAAGCGCACGUAGGCGGUUCGUUAUGUCGGAUGUGAAAGCCCUUGGCUUAACCGAGGAAGUGCAUCCGAAACUGGCGAGCUAGAGUACUAAAGAGGAUCGCGGAAUUCCCGGUGUAGAGGUGAAAUUCGUAGAUAUCGGGAGGAACACCGGUGGCGAAGGCGGCGAUCUGGGUAGAUACUGACGCUGAGGUGCGAAAGCGUGGGGAGCAAAUAGG
rnacentral:rRNA from 1 species